GCUGGAAUCGCUAGUAAUCGCGGAUCAGAAUGCCGCGGUGAAUACGUUCCCGGGUCUUGUACACACCGCCCGUCACACCAUGGGAGUCGGAAAUGCCCGAAGUCUGUGACCUAACCGUAAGGAAGGAGCAGCCGAAGGCAGGUCGGAUGACUGGGGUGAAGUCGUAACAAGGUAAC
rnacentral:rRNA from 1 species